GACGAACGCUGGCGGCGUGCUUAACACAUGCAAGUCGAACGGAAAGGCCCUGCUUUUGUGGGGUGCUCGAGUGGCGAACGGGUGAGUAACACGUGAGUAACCUGCCCUUGACUUUGGGAUAACUUCAGGAAACUGGGGCUAAUACCGGAUAGGAGCUCCUGCUGCAUGGUGGGGGUUGGAAAGUUUCGGCGGUUGGGGAUGGACUCGCGGCUUAUCAGCUUGUUGGUGGGGUAGUGGCUUACCAAGGCUUUGACGGGUAGCCGGCCUGAGAGGGUGACCGGCCACAUUGGGACUGGGAUACGGCCCGGACUCCUACGGGAGGAAGCAGUGGGAAAUAUUGCACAAUGGGCGGAAGCCGGAUGCAGCAACGCCGCGUGCGGGAUGACGGCCUUCGGGUGGUAAACCGCUUGCGCCUGUGACGAAGCGUGGGUGACGGUAAUGGGUAAAGAAGCACCGGCUAACUACGU
rnacentral:rRNA from 1 species